rnacentral:rRNA from 1 species
GUGCGAGCGUUGUCCGGAAUUACUGGGCGUAAAGAGCUCGUAGGUGGUUUGUCGCGUUGUUCGUGAAAUCUCACGGCUUAACUGUGAGCGUGCGGGCGAUACGGGCAGACUUGAGUACUGCAGGGGAGACUGGAAUUCCUGGUGUAGCGGUGGAAUGCGCAGAUAUCAGGAGGAACACCGGUGGCGAAGGCGGGUCUCUGGGCAGUAACUGACGCUGAGGAGCGAAAGCGUGGGGAGCGAACAGGAUUAGAUACCCUGGUAGUCCACGCCGUAAACGGUGGGUACUAGGUGUGGGUUUCCUUCCUUGGGAUCCGUGCCGUAGCUAACGCAUUAAGUACCCCGCCUGGGGAGUACGGCCGCAAGGCUAACACUCAAAGAAAUUGACGGGGGCCCGCACAAGCGGCGGAGCAUGUGGAUUAAUUCGAUGCAACGCGAAGAACCUUACCUGGGUUUGACAUGCACAGGACGCCGGCAGAGAUGUCGGUUCCCUUGUGGCCUGUGUGCAGGUGGUGCAUGGCUGUCGUCAGCUCGUGUCGUGAGAUGUUGGGUUAAGUCCCGCAACGAGCGCAACCCUUGUCUCAUGUUGCCAGCGGGUAAUGCCGGGGACUCGUGAGAGACUGCCGGGGUCAACUCGGAGGAAGGUGGGGAUGACGUCAAGUCAUCAUGCCCCUUAUGUCCAGGGCUUCACACAUGCUACAAUGGCCGGUACAAAGGGCUGCGAUGCCGCGAGGUUAAGCGAAUCCUUUUAAAGCCGGUCUCAGUUCGGAUCGGGGUCUGCAACUCGACCCCGUGAAGUCGGAGUCGCUAGUAAUCGCAGAUCAGC